GAAAGAAAGAAAGAAAGAAAGAAAGAAAGAAAGAAAAGAAAGAAAGAAAGAAAGAAAGAAAGAAAGAAAGAAAGAAAGAAAGAAAGAAAGAAAGAAAGAAAGAAGAGAGAGAGAGAGAGAGAGAGAGGGAGGGAGGGAGGGAGGGAGGGAGGGAGGGAGGGAGGGAGGGAGGGAGAGAGGGAGGAAGGAAGGAAGGAAGGAAGGAAGGAAGGAAGGAAGGAAGGAAGGAAGGAAGGAAGGAAGGAAGGAAGGAAGAAGGGAAAAGAAAGAAAGAAAGAAAGAAACAAAGGAGGGAAGAGAAAGAAAGAAAGAAAGAAAGAAAGAAAGAAAGAAAGAAAGAAAGAAAGAAAGAAAGAAAGAAAGAAAGAAAGAAAGAAAGAAAGAAAGAAGAAAGAAAGAAAGAAAGAAAGAAAAGAAAGAAAGAAAGAAAGAAAAGAAAGAAAGAAAGAAAGAAAGAAAGAAAGAAAGAAAGAAAGAAAGAAAGAAAGAAAGAAAGAAAGAAAGAAAGAAAGAAAGAAAGAAAGAGAAAGAAGGGAGGGAGGGAAAGGAGGGAAGGAAGGAAGGAAGGAAGGAGGGAGGAAGGAAGGGAGGAAAGAAGGAAGGGAGGAAGGAAGGGAGGAAGAAAGGAAAGAAGGAAGAGAAAGAAAGAAAGAAAGAAAGAAAGAAAGAAAGAAAGAAAGAAAGAAAGAAAGAAAGAAAGAAAGAAGAAGAAAGAAAGAAAAGAAAGAAAGAAAGAAAGAAAGAAAGAAAGAAAGAAAAGAAAGAAAGAAAGAAAGAAAGAAAGAAAGAAAGAAAGAAAGAAAGAAAGAAAGAAAGAAAGAAAGAAAGAAAGGAAAAGGAAAGAAAAGAAAAAAAGGAAAGAAAGAAAAACAUCCGCAGCAGGUGAGGUAAGACAUUUAUCUUGCUCCAGGGGUUGGUCUUCAGGGCACCUCAAGAAUCUCAUCUCUAGGCCCUGUGCUGAUAUUUAUUCAUUUUGAAGGAAUGGUAUUAUGUUUGAAACCCAGAUAACUGGCCACUUCUGGAGGCUCUUCAAAAGCUUAGAAAUGAAAGGUCACAUUUGGUUUAGUGGUUGCUUCUAAGACAAUGUGGCUCUUUUUGUAAUUAUCCUCUUAAUGUUAGCAUUCCACCCCUGCCAUACCAUUUACAAAACUACAUGUUCACUAAAAUUCAGUCACUCUAUCGUGACAUGAGGAAGAGCAACGCUAUUCCAUAGGUGCCUUUUCUAGAAUCCCUCUCCUAAGUGAAAACUCCUCUGGAAUAUCCCUCUUUCUUUCCCCCAAAAACCCUGUUUCCUGCUCUUUUUUCCUCUUCCCUUCUUGUCCUCUCCUCUCCUUACAUUCUCACUUUUCCCCCAGCCAUGCGGAGGCCCAAAUUCGCAUGAAGUAGAGAACCGGUCAG
rnacentral:lncRNA from 1 species